UACAGGGGGUGCAAACGUUGCUCGGAAUCAUUGGGCGUAAAGCGCACGUAGGCGGUUCGUUAUGUCGGAUGUGAAAGCCCUUGGCUUAACCGAGGAAGUGCAUCCGAAACUGGCGAGCUAGAGUACGAAAGAGGAUCGCGGAAUUCCCGGUGUAGCGGUGAAAUGCGUAGAUAUCAGGAGGAACACCUGUGGCGAAAGCGGCGCACUGGACCACAACUGACGCUGAGGCGCGAAAGCUAGGGGAGCAAACAGG
rnacentral:rRNA from 1 species